GCACCUGAAAUAGGGCUGCAGGGAGGUGAGGUGUGGGCGCCACGUUCAGGAGAGACACCUGGGCUGUAGGCAGACGUCUCGGCCUCAUCAUGAGGAGAUGGUUCUUGAAGCUGUGGAAGUGAGCGUAUGGAAAAGCUCCAUGGAGAAGAACUUGGGAACAAGCACGUAAGCCCCUGUGGAUCACCCAGCACCCCUGCUAAGAAGAGAUUUUGAGUGACACUGAAGCCCUUCAAGUCCUAGCUGGUUCUGUUCAGAAGGAAAGGGGACACAGACUGUACUCAGCAACACCUGUUGGCCUCCUUAUUCAGUAACUUCUGGAUGUAAAUCAUUGAAUGAUAAUUUAACGAAGUAAAGAAUAAAUCAUGAUGGGUAAAGGAAAAAAGAACAUCUUUCCAUGUUAGCAUGUGGGAUCUUAGCUCCCCGACCAGGGAUUGAACCUGCACCCCCCGCAUUGGAAGGCGAAGUCUUAACCACUGGACCACCAGGGAAGUCCCUGAUGUACCAUCUUGACCAUUUUUAAGCGUGAACUUCACUGGCACUAAGUGCUUUCACAUUGUUAUACAAUCAUCACUGCCAUCCAUCUCCAGAACUUUUUC